UACGUAGGGUGCAAGCGUUGUCCGGACUUAUUGGGCGUAAAGAGCUCGUAGGCGGUUCGUCGCGUCGGCUGUGAAAUCCCGAGGCUCAACCUCGGGUCUGCCGUCGAUACGGGCGGACUGGAGUUCGGCAGGGGAGACUGGAAUUCCUGGUGUAGCGGUGAAAUGCGCAGAUAUCAGGAGGAACACCGGUGGCGAAGGCGGGUCUCUGGGCCGAUACUGACGCUGAGGAGCGAAAGCGUGGGGAGCGAACAGG
rnacentral:rRNA from 1 species